rnacentral:rRNA from 1 species
UACCAAGGAUUCCCCUAGUAACUGCGAGUGAAGCGGGAAAAGCUCAAAUUUAAAAUCUGAUAGUCUUAGGCUGUCCGAGUUGUAAUCUAGAGAAGUGUUAUCCGCGCUGGACCGUGUACAAGUCUCCUGGAAUGGAGCGUCAUAGAGGGUGAGAAUCCCGUCUUUGACACGGACUACCAGGGCUUUGUGAUGCGCUCUCAAAGAGUCGAGUUGUUUGGGAAUGCAGCUCAAAAUGGGUGGUAAAUUCCAUCUAAAGCUAAAUAUUGGCGAGAGACCGAUAGCGAACAAGUACCGUGAGGGAAAGAUGAAAAGAACUUUGGAAAGAGAGUUAAACAGUACGUGAAAUUGCUGAAAGGGAAACGCUUGAAGUCAGUCGCGUUGACCAGGGAUCAACCUUGCUCUUGCUGGGUGUACUUUCUGGUUAACGGGUCAACAUCAAUUUUGAUUGUUGGAAAAAGAUCAAGGGAAUGUAGCAUCUUCGGAUGUGUUAUAGCCUUUGGUUAUAUACAACAAUUGGGAUUGAGGAACUCAGCACGCCGAAAGGCCGGGUUUUUAACCACGUUCGUGCUUAGGAUGUUGGCAUAAUGGCUUUAAUCGACCCGUCUUGAAACACGGACCAAGGAGUCUAACAUGCCUGCGAGUGUUUGGGUGGAAAACCCGAGCGCGUAAUGAAAGUGAAAGUUGAGAUCCCUGUCGCGGGGAGCAUCGACGCCCGGACCAGAAAUUUAUGGACGGUUCCGCGGUAGAGCAUGUAUGUUGGGACCCGAAAGAUGGUGAACUAUGCCUGAAUAGGGUGAAGCCAGAGGAAACUCUGGUGGAGGCUCGUAGCGAUUCUGACGUGCAAAUCGAUCGUCAAAUUUGGGUAUAGGGGCGAAAGACUAAUCGAACC